rnacentral:rRNA from 1 species
AAGGUGCUGCAUGGUUGUCGUCAGCUCGUGCCGUGAGGUGUCGGGUUAAGUCCCAUAACGAGCGCAACCCCUACUGCUAGUUGCCAGCGGGUCAUGCCGGGGACUCUAGCGGAACUGCCAGCGUAAGCUGCGAGGAAGGUGGGGAUGACGUCAAAUCAGCACGGCCCUUACGUCCAGGGCUACACACGUGUUACAAUGGCCAGUACAGAGGGCAGCCACCCCGCGAGGGGGCGCUAAUCCUAAAAGCUGGUCCCAGUUCGGAUCGGAGUCUGCAACCCGACUCCGUGAAGCUGGAUUCGCUAGUAAUCGCGCAUCAGCCACGGCGCGGUGAAUACGUUCCCGGGCCUU